UACACCCGUAGUAACAUGUUUACUUGAUAUUGCGGCUGUAAUUCGAUACAGGGGGGAAUAUCAGUCCACAGUGUAGCCGUUUCCUACAAUAUCAUUAUAGUUGUUUUUGAAAUUGCUUUUUGGUAUAUUUAGAUGUUUUUGGUGUCAAACAUGGCUUCAUCAGAGGGACUUGGAUGCUGCCUUAAAGUUGUCUUCUUGUAUAUAGUGCAAACUAAAUUGAAUCAAAACAUAAAAAAAAAUGGAUUUUGUUAAUUAUUAAAUAAAAUAUAAGAAAAAAGACUACAAACUCUCUUCACCAGUCUUCCUUUAUUAUUUUAAACAGAAAACGUUUCAAAUAAAAUCGUUUUAAUUAGA